AUUUUUCGUGUUUUUUUUGUAAAAAAAAUUGAAGAUCGGAAACUGGUUGAAAAUUUUGAUUGGGUGGUAAUAUUAUUAUGAAAUCAACAUCAUACCGAAGGAAUAUUCUAUUUCAUGCUGAAUCCGAAAAUUUAAUUAGUCUUGAUCACCCCGACGACCCAUCUUGCAUUUUAUUCUAUUGGAUAUCUACCCUGUUUUGGAGGAAAUAUCCGACUUUCCAGCAUGUCACCCUACAUAAACGAAGAAUCCGACCCGGGCAAAAUCCAGCAAUUCUUGGGGUACACCCGGCCGAAAAAAAUCGUACCCGAAUGUACUCUGGAAAGUUGUCUCCUUCGGAAAUUUUAAAAAUGUGAAAUCCACGAAAUCUUGUAUAAAGCAUUGGUAGGGGGAAAAGCGGCAUUAGAAAUGUUUAUUAACGUGUAUGAUUAACAAGAAGAAAAUGCAUUAAUAAGUAUGUUGUGGUCAUGGUGUGGGAGAAGGAAUUUUCAUGCAUAAAACUCGACAAACUGAAAAAUUAAAAAUUUAGCAUUGCGUUAUAUUGGGAAAUAUAACGGGAAAUAUAUACAAACUUUCGGUAAGAAAAUGUUCAAAUUUAGCAUUGUCUUGGUAUAGCAGAAAUUCCUCUAAAUUGCAACAAAUUUUAGCCCACGGAGCAAAAAAGGUGAAAAUCAAUGACCUCCUGAAGCAACGACAAUUGUGUUUUUUCCGCGCCAUGACCACGAUUUUUUAGAACGACUUUUGUCUUACUCUCGAAUUUAACCAUUUCUUAUGUAUAAAAUGAAUAUUGUCUUGCAUUUAGUUAGAUUAAAUUAGUUACAGAUUAAGUUAGUUACAGAUUAAAUUAGUUACAGAUUAAGUUAGUUACAGAUUAAAUUAGUUACAGAUUACUAUUCUAGCUCAGGGUACCAUUCUUAGAUAUGAUCAUGCUAUAAUUUAGAUUACAAUUUCGUUAUGGUUUUGAUUUCUUUUGUGUAUGAUUUUGGUUAUGAUUUAGGUUAGGGGCUAUCCAUAAAUUACAUUGUCAGAAAUUCUCAAUUUUAGCACCCACCCACCAAUCCAACAUAUACAUCAAGGGAUAGGGAGUUUUAACAUGGGUAAAAUAGGACUUGAACCACCCAUGCAUUAAAAUGAUGCAGAGCUGGGAACUACAUAAUCCGGAUUAUCCAAAGUUAAAAGAUAGAGGGAUUAGGGAUUAGGGAUUGGGAUUGACCAUUUAAACACAUUGACUAAUCCGGAUUAGUUCCCAGCUCUGAAAUGAUGACGUAAUAUUUGGACGUUCCCUUCUAAUUCGGUUAUGAUUUCCUUUUGCGUUGUCAUUUAGAUCAUGACUUGGGUUAUUUCGGUUAUGAUUUAGAUUAUCAUUUAGGUUAAAAAUCGGUUAUGUUUUUGAUUAUGAUUCCAGUUAUGAUUUACAUAGGUUAUUAUUUCUUUUAUGAUUUCGGUUAUGAGUUCAGAUCGCCACAAUUUCGUGACAUCUGAGGUCUUACUCGAAGGGACAAAAGAGCCACUAAAAGAUGUUCGUAGCAUAAUGUUGAAUAGUAAUAUUAACAUAAUAAUAAUAUCUAGUAAGUUUUUAUUGUCAUAAGGUAACAACUUAAUAUGUAACAUGCUGAUUUCCAACCAUUGACAUUAACUAAAUAGUUAUUAAAACAAGUCGACGCGGCAUUAACAAAAUUCCGAGUGGUUAACAAUACUUUGCGUUAAUUUCAAAAUUCUGAAUUGGCAACUGGACAUAUCAGAAAUCCGUCGUAACAUUAACAUGAACUCCUUACUCAUAUUCUAAUUUAGAUUUCGUUCAAAUUUUGUUGCAAUAUGUGUUGCAACUGCGGUCCCAAAUUUACCGCUAUAGCCGGCUAUUCACAACAUCCCCAGUUGGUUUAAACAUUCGGAAUAAGUAACGAAUUGUAUCUAGCGAUUCAGCUAGAUCAUUAGACCUAUGGAUUAACUUAAAAUGCUAAUCAAAACUCCAAAAUUAGAUCGUGGCAUACUAAUACGGAAAAUGCAAUUAUUUUGCAAAAUUGAACUUAUUGCAAAAUUGGGGUCAGAUAUCAAAAUAUCGACCAAAUUCAAGUCCAAAAUAAAUUUAUAAAUUAUUUCCAGUCAUAUUAAACCAAAGUUUGACGAGUUUGAGGCUAAACUCAAAAUUAUCAAAAAAUUCGCACAUUUUAGCUCAGAUCUCGAAAACCACCAAUCUACGCCCCCAAUAUUAUUACAGAUUCUUCAUGUACACAAAAUUACGAAAAUUUUAAGCUAUCAAACUUGAAAAUCGUCCGAGCGCGAAAAAACACGAUCUCAUUGUAUAUAUCUAUCUUAAUUAUUGAAAUAUGUACCGGUAAAUUAAUAAUAUACGUGGCAUAAUAUCAUUAAUUAUAAAUUAUGCAUCAAACGAGUUUAAGUUGUGACUUCGUGACCUUGAGGACGUGGUCAAAGGUCAAAAGAUACAUAAUUGUCAUAUGGGAUGUCAUUUUGAAGGAAAUUUGACCGCGAUUUCAAGGACGUGAAUAUUUUUAACGUCAUGAUACAGGGUCAAGAGUCAAGAAUACGUAAUUGUCGCAUAUGGUGUCAUUUUAAAGGACAUUUCGAUAAUUUUGACGCUACUUUUUUAUACCUGUUUCUAAGGGUUUAUUUAUUCUAUCGAAAGAAUUAAAGUACCCCCUCAUUUGAAUUACUUGAGUUUCACUGUAAAGUGUACCAAAUGGGAGUGUUUCUUCAAAUAUAUUGCAAAAUAAGAAGUUUAGAUUCAUAUUUGCUAAACCAUUACUCGCGAAAAACCCGACCUGAGUACGAGGCUUUAGGUUUGAGAAAUACACAAGUCAUAUUCAUAUCGAGCAGAGCAGGCCACAUGGCAUGAAAAAAACGUGCAAGCAGCUGACACUCUGUCGUGCCAAGUAUGAAGUAUGAAGUAAUAAAAAAAUAUUCAAAAUUUUAAGCAAGAAAAUUAAGAAAUAAUUAAAUACAGCAAGUUAUACAACUUCAGUAAAUCAAACUUCUGGAUUAUUCUUAACUGGAUACUUAUUAAAACCGGGUCAAAACUUUACACUGUAAAAGUCCAGUCGGAGAGCGGACUAUUGGUUGGGAAUUCGCAAUUUUGCAGGAGGGGCAGGAGGAAAAGCGAAAUACGCUUAUCUGUUGGAUAAUUUUUUUUUACAAACGGGCAAAUUUAAUUUUCAAUAUGUCAACGCCGGAUUUUAAAAUCGAUCCUGAAUGUAUUUUAGGUAUUUCAUCACAAGAGAGUCCUCCGGAGGAAGACGGACUAGCUCAAAGGGUCCGUUUUUCCUGUCCGACAUGUCCGAAUUCGUAUGCGACCCUGCAAAACCUGCGAUUUCACGAACUGAACAGGUGUCGCGGGCUCAAUCAGAAAACGUGCGAGCGGUGUAAGACUGAAUUCGCAACGGCGGAAUUAUUACAACGCCACGCGACGUUCGACACGUGUGUCGCAAAACUAGGGAGCGGUUACGGGUUGACGACUCACCUUCACGUGGGGACACGGAUUACUACUAAGGGGCAGUCCAAGGAAUGGGUCGUCGUGUGAGUGUGGUUAAGUUUGAUCAGAGCUUGGCGGAUAUCGCGAAUAUUUGGAGAAAUUCCUCUCGGAUCAUGUGCCCCGUGGAAACGUGUCGGAGAUGGUUCAGCUCAGAAAUUUACCGGAGAUCGCACAUACAAAAAAGUCACGCCACGUGGAAUAACGCAUGUUUGAUGUGUGACGAGAAAUUUGACAAGUAUGACGAGCUGUUUGACCAUCUUGGACGGGUGCAUGGGUCGUCGUCGUUGGGGGUCAAGGGGGAGGAGCUAGAUCUCGUGAGAGUAAAAAGUGAAGUGAUUUUGGACGAUGAAGUAGAAAUUGGCGGCGGAGUGGAAGACGAAAUUAAGCCAGACAUUAAAGAGCAAUUCGUAGUAAAGGUGGAAAAUGAAACGUGGGACGGGGUAGAUGUGAAACUUGAACCUUUUCAAGACUUGUAGUAGCUACUCGGUAGAAUUAAGUUUCUUAAAUUUCAUUUUAUUUUAUUUUAAUCAAGUUUAUAAUUGAUCGGCAACCUUCAAAUUUUAUCGAACUUAUGUAUGUACAAUUAUAAAAUUGACGAUUAUAUACAAACAAAAUGGCACAAUGAUCCGUAAACAAUAUUAAGGUAGUUUAUACUUCAGUAAGAAACUAAAACGGGACAUAUGUCCCGUUUUACAUAUGUAAAUACAUAUUUAUAAAUGUAUGCAAAUAAAUACUUAUGUGUAUAAAUAUAUAAAAUGAAAUUAUGAA